AAGCGGACGUGACGUCACUGUGCGGCGUCGGUCGCUAGACUUGUUGCACAGCGGGGCUGAGAUCGACGGGUUCAGCGCCCCCUAUCGUCCACUUUCGGGACCUGCGUUUGUGGCAUACUAUUAGGUACUAAGGACGAGAUCCACUGUUAAUGUCCCUUUGUGACUCCUAGCACACAGUAGAUGUUCUGUAUUGACAUGGAAAGAUCCGGCUUGCUCCUAUAUCCAGAUGAGCUCUGCCAAGUUCCAGACAGCUGGCUCACAUUAUGCCAUCUGUGUCAUACAGUGACACCAUAGUGCCAUGAGUGGGACUGUCAUCACCUGUCACAAAUGCAGAAAAUGCCACAGAAGACUCCAUUUGGAGUCUAUCCCUUCACAUGGAUGGCCAGACAAGGAGCUACUCCUUCAAGGAAACCCUGGGGAUCAUCUCCAAUAAAGAACUGAAAAACA